UACGAAGGGGGCUAGCGUUGCUCGGAAUCACUGGGCGUAAAGCGCACGUAGGCGGAUCGUUAAGUCAGGGGUGAAAUCCUGGAGCUCAACUCCAGAACUGCCUUUGAUACUGGCGACCUUGAGUUCGGGAGAGGUGAGUGGAACUGCGAGUGUAGAGGUGAAAUUCGUAGAUAUUCGCAAGAACACCAGUGGCGAAGGCGGCUCACUGGCCCGAUACUGACGCUGAGGUGCGAAAGCGUGGGGAGCA
rnacentral:rRNA from 1 species